rnacentral:rRNA from 1 species
UGCGUAGGCGGCUUUUUAAGUCGGAUGUGAAAUCCCCGAGCUUAACUUGGGAAUUGCAUUCGAUACUGGGAAGCUAGAGUAUGGGAGAGGAUGGUAGAAUUCCAGGUGUAGCGGUGAAAUGCGUAGAGAUCUGGAGGAAUACCGAUGGCGAAGGCAGCCAUCUGGCCUAAUACUGACGUUGUUGCACGAAAGCGUGGGGAGCAAACAGGAUUAGAUACCCUUGUA